rnacentral:rRNA from 1 species
GACGAACGCUGGCGGCGUGCUUAACACAUGCAAGUCGAACGGAAAGGCCCUGCUUGCAGGGUACUCGAGUGGCGAACGGGUGAGUAACACGUGGGUGAUCUGCCCUGCACUUCGGGAUAAGCUUGGGAAACUGGGUCUAAUACCGGAUAGGACCGCACUUUAGUGUGUGUGGUGGAAAGUUUUUUCGGUGUAGGAUGAGCUCGCGGCCUAUCAGCUUGUUGGUGGGGUAAUGGCCUACCAAGGCGGCGACGGGUAGCCGGCCUGAGAGGGUGUACGGCCACAUUGGGACUGAGAUACGGCCCAGACUCCUACGGGAGGCAGCAGUGGGGAAUAUUGCACAAUGGGCGCAAGCCUGAUGCAGCGACGCCGCGUGGGGGAUGAAGGCCCUCGGGUUGUAAACUCCUUUCGCUAGGGACGAAGCUUUUUGUGACGGUACCUAGAUAAGAAGCACCGGCUAACUACGUG